rnacentral:lncRNA from 1 species
CUGGAGUGCAAUGGUGCAAUUUCAGCUCACUAUAACCUCUGCCUCCCAGGUUCAAGCGAUUCUCCUGCCUCAGCCUCCUGACUAGCUGGAACUACAGGCUCUUCCAGAAUCUUGCCACUCUUCCAUCAAGAAACACAGUCUGUUUCCCACCCCAUCCCCUGAAACUGAGCAUUAUUUUGCCGCUGCAUUGACUGAUGGAAUGCAUCCCGACUUUUGCGCCUGGCUUUUUGCCUUGGGAUAUGGGUUUUGGGAGCUUUGAGAUAAUAUGUAAGAAGUUUGGCUGCCCUGAAGCAUCCCUGCUGGAGAGACCUGGUGGAGCGAGCUCAGAGGACGCCUGAGGAGCCACAGCUGUCCCUGUACCAGCUACUUGAGUCUUCCCAGCCCAAGUGCCAGACAGCUAAGUGAUUGAGCCUUUAAGUGAGUCCAGCUUUCAGCCCCGUGCCUCCGCAGCUGACUCUGAGUGCAGCACAGCUGAGUUGUCCCAGUGGAGUACAAUCCAGGUUACAAAGUCUUGAACAAAAGCAGAAGGCCCUUGAGAGAGAAACAGUCUGUCCUGCUGCUACCUCCGUAUGUAUCCUCAGAACCUGGCACAGCACCUGGCCUCAGUGGACACCCAUAGAGAAACUAUAAUAUUUCAGGAACAAACAAGAACCUGUGACUACAAAAAGGUGGUCAUGGGAGGAUCAAGGACAUGAGAGCAGCCAUUAUGGAAAUUCUUAAGAAGCAACUGACAGGGCUUGGAGCCCAGGGAAAUGUUGAGUGCUUCAUUCUCGAACUCUUCUGUUAAGCAUUGUUGGGCACACCAAGGUACCCCAAGGGACUCACUCAGGAGACCUAACAAACCAUGUUGCCCAAGAAAGGCACUCCUUGCAGACCGCUUGUGCAGAAAGGAGCUGGUGGGGAUUUCAUGAUGAGGUAACAGCCUUGCUCUCGUUGACUGCUUCGGUUUCCAUGUUGUGUUUGUGACUUUCUGUUUCUAUUUCUGAACUAAGCCUGUAUUUGUUACUGAUGUGCAUACUACCAUUUGGUUUUCGCAUUGGUGGCAGGAAUGUUGAGUGGUGGUCUUAUGGUCUAAAGACCUGCAUUCUCUAAGGCAGCAGACAACAGGGAAGUCACUUGAGUUCCUUCCUACACUUACUAUAGAUCUCUUCUGAUCACUGAUGGAGUCCUAUGUGUAGAUGGUCUUUGUUGUGCACCAUUAUAAACUUAAAUGUCUCAAACUGAUUAGAGAAAAUAUAUUUUUCCAGAAGGUCAGCUGGACUGGAGAGCAACCCCGGAUGAGAAACAUCACAACUCCUUUGUCUUCGAGGGUCUCAUUCUGUCAUCCAGGGUGUAGUGCACUGGUGCAAUUUCAGCUGACUGCAACCUCUGCCUCCUGGGUUCAAGCAAUUCUCAUUCCUCAGCCUCCUGAGU